UACGUAGGGAGCGAGCGUUGUCCGGAUUCAUUGGGCGUAAAGAGCGCGCAGGCGGCUUGGUAAGUCGGAUGUGAAAACCCGGAGCUCAACUCCGGGCGUGCAUCCGAUACUGCCCGGCUAGAGGUAGGUAGGGGAGAUCGGAAUUCCUGGUGUAGCGGUGGAAUGCGCAGAUAUCAGGAGGAACACCGGUGGCGAAGGCGGAUCUCUGGGCCUUACCUGACGCUCAGGCGCGAAAGCUAGGGGAGCGAACAGG
rnacentral:rRNA from 1 species